GGACGUGCUAAUCUGCGAUAAGCGUCGGUAAGGUGAUAUGAACCGUUAUAACCGGCGAUUUCCGAAUGGGGAAACCCAGUGUGUUUCGACACACUAUCAUUAACUGAAUCCAUAGGUUAAUGAGGCGAACCGGGGGAACUGAAACAUCUAAGUACCCCGAGGAAAAGAAAUCAACCGAGAUUCCCCCAGUAGCGGCGAGCGAACGGGGAGGAGCCCAGAGCCUGAAUCAGUGUGUGUGUUAGUGGAAGCGUCUGGAAAGGCGCGCGAUACAGGGUGACAGCCCCGUACACAAAAAUGCACAUACUGUGAGCUCGAUGAGUAGGGCGGGACACGUGGUAUCCUGUCUGAAUAUGGGGGGACCAUCCUCCAAGGCUAAAUACUCCUGACUGACCGAUAGUGAACCAGUACCGUGAGGGAAAGGCGAAAAGAACCCCGGCGAGGGGAGUGAAAAAGAACCUGAAACCGUGUACG
rnacentral:rRNA from 1 species